ACACCGGCGGCCGGGCCAAGGCCGGCGCGUCGAAGGCGGCCGGGAAGACCGGUGGUGGCCGUGCCGGUUCCGCCGGCUCGGCGCG
rnacentral:tRNA from 1 species